rnacentral:lncRNA from 1 species
AGGUUUCUCUGUCAGUUCUACCCUCAUCCCUAAUUUUCUCUAGCAAGCUCGUUGACUCUUUCGCCAUCUCCUCAUCUUCCUUAACCUGAAUGGGAAUGGUUUCUUCCGUACCCAUGAAAAGUGCACCCUCACCAACUUCAGCCGCACCUUCACGGUGACCAAUCUUGCUGUACUCAUCAAAUCUAGAUUCAUCAUCAUCCUUGUCAACUCCACCUGUUUCUUCAGUAUCAGGAAGCAGAGUACUCAUGACCUUUUGUGUACAAGCAUAAUUAGCCAAGAAGAAACAAAAAGGAACCGAGGAGAGGAAGGCGAUAGUCGAGGCGACAAAAAGUGAAGGAACAAGAAGUGGAGCUGAAGACACUAUAACACCAGCUGUCAGAACCUUCUUCCCAACGCUU